AUUGAACGCUGGCGGCAGGCCUAACACAUGCAAGUCGAGCGAAUGAAGGGAGCUUGCUCCUGGAUUCAGCGGCGGACGGGUGAGUAAUGCCUAGGAAUCUGCCUGGUAGUGGGGGAUAACGUCCGGAAACGGGCGCUAAUACCGCAUACGUCCUGAGGGAGAAAGUGGGGGAUCUUCGGACCUCACGCUAUCAGAUGAGCCUAGGUCGGAUUAGCUAGUUGGUGGGGUAAAGGCCUACCAAGGCGACGAUCCGUAACUGGUCUGAGAGGAUGAUCAGUCACACUGGAACUGAGACACGGUCCAGACUCCUACGGGAGGCAGCAGUGGGGAAUAUUGGACAAUGGGCGAAAGCCUGAUCCAGCCAUGCCGCGUGUGUGAAGAAGGUCUUCGGAUUGUAAAGCACUUUAAGUUGGGAGGAAGGGAAGUAAGUUAAUACCUUGCUGUUUGGACGUUACCAACAGAAUAAGCACCGGCUAACUUCGU
rnacentral:rRNA from 1 species